rnacentral:lncRNA from 1 species
GUUCUGUCUUGGUCAACUAUAUAUAUAUAUAUACGUACUACUAGUACGACAGAUUUAUAUAACAUGUACAUAAUAAGGUGGAAAGAAAAAUGAGAUAUUUUCCUUCGUAAAUAAUAAUAUUUGUCGACUGGGAUUCGUGCAUCCGUAAUACAUUUCCCCCUGUUUUGAGAUAAAAACAGAGACCAUUUAAACUGUGGCCUUGUAAUUUGACAUAUUAUGUAUGGGGUAUGUAGUUUUAAAUCUUGCUAUAUCGAGAAAACAAACUUCUGCAAAACGUAUUAAAAGCACAGAAUCAUUUUUAUGUGGGGUAAA